rnacentral:lncRNA from 1 species
GGCAGGUCCUCACCCCCUGAGCCGAGGGGCUGCUGCACAGCUCCCUGCACGAGCCCCAGAUCGCAGCCCUGCUGAAGGGGGGAGAGAGGGGCGUCCAGGGAAUCGGCUGGGCAGCUUGUUCCCCCCUCCCACCCCACUCUGUGUACAGUAGAGCCUCCUGUCCCCACUGCAGGAGCUCAUCCAGCUGUGUCUGGAGAGAAGCCAGUUUAUCGGCUUCAACGCCCGUUCCCCCCUCCAACCCCUCUCUGUGUACAGUAGAGCUGCUGCUCUCACUCCCUGUCAGUUUCCACGUGUGUCCUGCCUGCUGCUUCUCUCUGGGCUGGAGGGGAGAGGCAAUAAGUCUCCUCUUCCGUGUCACCUGUCGGCCUUUGAAAAGCGCUCAAGGGCCGAGACCCGUCCACGCGCGCCGCGGGUGUCGUCAUCCUCAUCGAGCCGCGCGCCGGGCGGGCUCGGACACGCGUGGGAAUGCGAGUCCCGCGAUGGCGGCCGAGGGUAUAUGGCGGCCGCCCGCAGGCCCGCAGGAGGACUGUGCUGUGCGCGGCGAUGCUUUCUGUGUGGAGACGCGCCGAGCUCGGCUUUCUGAUCGUGCUCACGUGGAGCUGCACGGGGCUCGUGCGGGGCCGCCUCACUGGUUCCGACUUCCUGAAGGCCUACGGGGAAACGGACCCCGACUACGACCGCUCCGACGAGCCCCCGGACCCCCCGGGGUACGGGGCCCGCGCCUCCCGCUGGCCCGGCGUGGGCGAGAGGCUGGACGCGGGGGGAGACGCGUCCACGCUGAUGCGAGUGGACUCCGUGCGGGAGACGGCCCGGCCCGGGCAACCCGUCCCCGCCCCGGCACACGGGACCGAGCCCGGGCGGAUUCUGGAAGCCGGGCGCCGUCCCUCUCCCAUCCCGGGCUCGGUCUUGAUGGACCAGCCGCUGGGCUCCCGGGACCCGGACUGGAUGUCCGGCAGCAGGCAGCCGGCGCCGGACUCGCACUGGGAGCCGAGCCUAGCCCUGCGGAGAUGAGUGUCCAGCUGGAGGCGCUGUCUGUUCAGGAGCUCCGGGUGCACUUGAGGGGGCAGUGGGUGUUGGUGGAGGAAGUUGCAGUGCAUUGUGGGUUCAGCUGGAGGAGGAGUGAGGACAGGCUGGUCUUCACUGUGGCGUACAGUGGCUGUGGAGUCAAGUCAGAGGGGGGGGUGUACUCCCUGACCCUGCUCUGGGGUGAGAGGGAGGUCACUCUGUCCUGCCCGGCUGUUCUGCCCCCUGCUCCCCCUCCCCCUGGGACAGCUGCCCCCCCGCCGCGGCCCCCCUCGCUCCUCUGCAGGAAGACCAGGAUGUGGGCGGUGCUGCCGUCUGCCCGGCCCGACUCGCUGCAGGUCCGAGGUGAGUCCGCGUCUCCCCAGGGUCUCCCCUGGACGGUGACCACGCACCCGGUAUCUCCUGGGGUGGGUGGACGCAGGCGGCGGGGUGCCUCUCCCCCCGACCUCUGGGGCCAGCUCGCAGUGGUCACGGGGCCCCUGUGGCGGUCACUGGGGCCCCUGCGGUCCCUGAACGCCCGGGUCUGACCCGUGAGCCGCGAGGCGGGUGGCACCGGGCCGGGCCGGGAGUCGGGCUGGGCCGGGUCAGGACCUCGCCCACAAGAGCCCGUCCUGCUCUUGCAGACCGCAGCGGCGUGUGGCGGCCAGUGGGGGGCGCGGCGCCACUCUGCGCCUACGAGGUGAAGAGGGGAGACGAGGGGGGGGUGGUCUUCUCCUCCCCCCUGCCCGGCUGUGACUCCCGGACGCUGGUCAGUGUGCGCCUCCGGCUCGGCCCGGCCCGGUGCGCGGGACAGCCCGGUAACCCCUGUCCUCUCCCAGGCCCCAUCCCUGCUCUCUCUCCCGCUCCGUUUCCACGACGAUGCCCUGCUGCGCUGGCGCACGCUGGACCUGCGGUGCCCAGUGGCUCCUGGUCAGACUCCCCCCACACCCCCUCGGACCACUGACCACCCUGGGCCCCGCCCUUCCCCCCACCCGCUCCCUGCCCCACUCCAGCCCAGGGUCACCUGUGGGCAGCAGCAUCUGAGUGUGGACCUGCCCCGCGGGCCAGUCAGGGGCAUCGCAGUGCGGAGUGAGUAGAGCCCAGCUACUGCACA